rnacentral:rRNA from 1 species
UCGCCGCGGUAACACCAGCUCCCCGAGUGGUUGGGACGAUUAUUGGGUCUAAAAGCAUCCGUAGCCGGCCGAGGAAGUUCUCCGUUAAAUCCAGCGAUUCAAUCGUUGGACUGCGGAGAAUACUCCUCGGCUAGGGGGCGGGGGAGGCCGGCGGUAGUCCCCGGGGUAGGGGCGAAAUCCUAUAAUCCCGGGAGGACCACCAGUGGCGAAGGC